AAGAUAUACGAGGAUAUAAAAGAGACAACUAAGAUGGCAGAUGCGCAGGCUAACAAACGGUGUAUACAAAUGGUAUAGUGUGGUGGUGUUGGUG
ensembl:ncRNA H30A04.6 ncRNA